rfam:Otolemur garnettii contig012409, whole genome shotgun sequence.
UGAUCGGUGUGCUCGCUUUGGCACACCGGAACAAUACAGAGAAGAUUAGCAGGGCCCUGUGCAAGGAGGAUGCACAAAUUCAUGAAGCGUUCCAGAUUAAA